CCGAUGCAGAGCCUUUUCUGUAUCCUCUACCUGGUCUAACAUGAAGUGCCUGCUGGGACCAACUAGCAGCUUCCUAUCAUACAGAUCCCCUACUGCAGUCCACCCGACCAUGCUACAAGCAUUAAGCUUGAAAGAGAGACACACAAAAAAGGCUGGGGAAAGAAACACAUAGAGGGGCUGGACUGGAAAAAAAGAGAGAGGAUCUGGAGAGAGAAUGAGACACAUAGGGCAGUGCAAGGGGUGAAAGAAACACAUAGGCGCUAUGAGUGAAAGACAGAGGGGCUGGGGGAAAAUGAGACAAACAGGCUCUGGGAGUGGGAGGAGAUCCACAGAGGGGCUACAGGAGAGAAAGAGACACAUACAAGGGCUGUGAGGGAGAAAGACACAUAGAGAGGCUGUGGGGGAAAGGGAGACACACAAAGGGGCAUGGGGAGAGUCACAGGGGAAAAAGAGACACAGAGGGGCUGGGGGGAAAAGAGAAACAUAGAGGGGCAUGGAGAGAGUCACACAGAGGGGAUCCAGGGGAAAAAGAGGCACAAAGGGCCUGGGAGAAAAAGAGACACACAGACGGGCUGAUGUUGAGAGAGAGACAAACAGAGGCGAUUUGGGGAGAGAAAGACCCCCAGAGGGGCUGUGGAAGAGGAGAAAGAGAAACACAGAGGG